rnacentral:rRNA from 1 species
UACGAAGGGGGCUAGCGUUGCUCGGAAUUACUGGGCGUAAAGCGCACGUAGGCGGCUCUUUAAGUCGGGGGUGAAAUCCUGGAGCUCAACUCCAGAACUGCCUUCGAUACUGAAGAGCUCGAGUCCGGGAGAGGUAAGUGGAACUGCGAGUGUAGAGGUGAAAUUCGUAGAUAUUCGCAAGAACACCAGUGGCGAAGGCGGCUCACUGGUCCGGUACUGACGCUGAGGUGCGAAAGCGUGGGGAGCAAACAGG